rnacentral:rRNA from 1 species
AGUGAACGCUGGCGGUAGGCCUAACACAUGCAAGUCGAACGGCAGCACAGUAAGAGCUUGCUCUUACGGGUGGCGAGUGGCGGACGGGUGAGGAAUACAUCGGAAUCUACUUUUUCGUGGGGGAUAACGUAGGGAAACUUACGCUAAUACCGCAUACGACCUACGGGUGAAAGCAGGGGAUUUUCGGACCUUGCGCGAUUGAAUGAGCCGAUGUCGGAUUAGCUAGUUGGCGGGGUAAAGGCCCACCAAGGCGACGAUCCGUAGCUGGUCUGAGAGGAUGAUCAGCCACACUGGAACUGAGACACGGUCCAGACUCCUACGGGAGGAAGCAGUGGGGAAUAUUGGACAAUGGGCGCAAGCCUGAUCCAGCCAUACCGCGUGGGUGAAGAAGGCCUUCGGGUUGUAAAGCCCUUUUGUUGGGAAAGAAAAGCAGCAGGUUAAUACCCCGCUGUUCUGACGGUACCCAAAGAAUAAGCACCGGCUAACUUCGUG